CGGUAACAGCCCGCAAGGUGCUGACGAGUGGCGAACGGGUGAGUAAUGUAUCGGAACGUGCCCAGUCGUGGGGGAUAACGCAGCGAAAGCUGCGCUAAUACCGCAUACGAUCUAUGGAUGAAAGCGGGGGACCGUAAGGCCUCGCGCGAUUGGAGCGGCCGAUAUCAGAUUAGGUAGUUGGUGGGGUAAAGGCUCACCAAGCCAACGAUCUGUAGCUGGUCUGAGAGGACGACCAGCCACACUGGGACUGAGACACGGCCCAGACUCCUACGGGAGGCAGCAGUGGGGAAUUUUGGACAAUGGGCGCAAGCCUGAUCCAGCAAUGCCGCGUGCAGGAAGAAGGCCUUCGGGUUGUAAACUGCUUUUGUACGGAACGAAACGGUCCUGGUUAAUACCUGGGGCUAAUGACGGUACCGUAAGAAUAAGCACCGGCUAACUACGUGCCAGCAGCCGCGGUAAUACGUAGGGUGCAAGCGUUAAUCGGAAUUACUGGGCGUAAAGCGUGCGCAGGCGGUUUUGUAAGACAGGCGUGAAAUCCCCGGGCUUAACCUGGGAAUGGCGCUUGUGACUACAAAGCUGGAGUGCGGCAGAGGGGGAUGGAAUUCCGCGUGUAGCAGUGAAAUGCGUAGAUAUGCGGAGGAACACCGAUGGCGAAGGCAAUCCCCUGGGCCUGCACUGACGCUCAUGCACGAAAGCGU
rnacentral:rRNA from 1 species